CAAAGAGCAGCACUGAGCAGAAAUAACACGGCUCCUGUUCAUUCUCCAUCAGUGAGGGGCCGGUGCUGGACACUGUGUAGGGACGCGGGAAUGCAAAGUCAUACACAUGACUGUGACUGAUGCACUAUCUCCAGGACAUGGAGUAGCAUUUCCGGACCUACAGCAAGACGUUGGAUGAAGGCAUAGCCCCAGAAAUAACACUGGUCCUGUUCAUCAGUGAGGGGCCGGUGCUGGACACUGUGUAGGGACACGGGAAUGCAAAGUCAUGCACAUGACUGUGACUGAUGCACUAUUUCCAGGAGAUGGAGUAGCAUUUCGGGACCUACAGCAAGACGUUGGAUGAAGGCACAGGCCUAGGAAUCAUGCACAUACACAGAAACAUUUGCCCAAAUUAUAGAGGUAACCUCCUUUAGUAUGCCCAGAGGAAGGGCCAUACAGUAGCCAUGGAUUCCCUACAGGUUUCCUCCCCUCUGGAGGUUUUUCCUGUCCUGAGUAUUAGUUACUGUACGCUCUUUGUGAGUGAUGGGAGGUUACAAAAAAUCCCCUACACAAACAUUUUAAUAAAUAAUAAAUAAAG